AUUGAACGCUGGCGGCAGGCCUAACACAUGCAAGUCGAACGAGCGGCGGACGGGUGAGUAAUGUAUGGGCAUCUGCAUGAUGGAGGGCUAUAACUAAUGGUAACCGUAGCUAAUUCCGCAUACCAUCCGAUGAACCCAUAUGGGUUUAGCUUGUAGGGGAGGUAACGGCUCACCUAGGCGACGAUCCCUACCUGGUCUGAGAGGAUGAUCAGCCACACUGGUACGGAGACACGGCCCAGACUCCUACGGGAGGCAGCAGUGGGGAAUUUUGCACAAUGGGCGAAAGCCUGAUGCAGCAAUGCCGCGUGUACGAAGAAGGCCUUCGGGUUGUAAAGUACUUUCGGUAGGGAGGCGGUACCGACAGAAAAAGCACCGGCUAACUACGUGCCAGCAGCCGCGGUAAUAC
rnacentral:rRNA from 1 species